rnacentral:lncRNA from 8 species
UGUUUAUUACUAGUUCACAUGGCAAUGUGUUAGUAAUUUUCCAGAUAAUUUAAAAACAGUGUAAUUGAAACAUUGAAUUGAGACGUUAGUGAACUACCUGUGAUAAAGAAAUUAUCCUCCAGAAAUAAUUAAAGAUGUUGUGAUUGGAUAUACAAUAAUAUUUGGUUGAAUUAAACCAUCUAACCAGGGUUGGGUACUUUGAAAAAAAUCUAGAAUUCUGAUUGUAUUCGAAUUGACCCCAACUCUUCAUGUAACCCUCACAUUGUCAAUCAAUUACUUAUUUCUCACAAAUACAUGUUCUUUGUUACUUGUAGGUUUUUCAUCAGAGCAAGAUGUUUGCUCUCCAUCUACCAAUGCGAUGGCACCACCCUAUGGUCGAGGGCACAAUGUGUUGAAAGCGGGGAGUGUUACCAAUCACUGCUACUUGAAGUGCAUAUCCCAAAGUAGUCACAAUUAUGGCAAUGCUACUAUAUAUCAGCACUGCUUAAUAACAUUAUAUAUUUCAACAAAUUAUUCCAUCCAUCAACAGUCCCAGUAAAAAAAAAAUAUUUUUUUAUUAAAUAUCAAAUAGUUGAUAUAAAUACACUGAGAAUACAAAACAUUAAGGACACCUCUUUCCAUGACAUUGACUGACUAGGUGAAUCCAGGUGGAAGCUAUGAUCCCUUAUUGAUGUCACUUGUUAAAUCCAUUAAAGAAGGAUUUUUAAGCCUUGAGACAAUUGAUUCAUGGAUUGUGUAUGUGUGCCAUUCAGAGGGUGAACGGGCAAGACAAAAGGUUGAAGUGCCUUUGAACGGGGUAUGGUAGUAGGUGCCAGGCGCCGGUUGCAACUCAAUAUUAGGAAGGUGUUCCUAAUGUUUGGUGUACUCAGUGUAGUAUGAAUGAAGUUAAAUGAAUAGUCUGUUUGGUAGAACAAUAAUACAACUGCAUGUUAGGUAAUGCCAGGCUACCUUGGUUUUUAAGCCUUUGAAGGUAAACUACGUAGUCGCAGGGUUUCCUUAUUCUGAAUAAA